rnacentral:rRNA from 1 species
UAAUACGUAGGGGGCAAGCGUUGUCCGGAUUUAUUGGGCGUAAAGAGCGUGUAGGCGGCCAGGUAGGUCUGACGUGAAAUCUCGAGGCUCAACCUCGAGCGGUCGUUGGAAACCGUCUGGCUAGAGUCCGGAAGAGGAGAGUGGAAUUCCUGGUGUAGCGGUGAAAUGCGCAGAUAUCAGGAAGAACACCCAUGGCGAAGGCAGCUCUCUG